rnacentral:rRNA from 1 species
UCGAUGCAACGCGAAGAACCUUACCUACUCUUGACAUCCAGAGAAUUUAGCGGAGAUGCUUUAGUGCUUCGGGAACUCUGAGACAGGUGCUGCAUGGCUGUCGUCAGCUCGUGUUGUGAAAUGUUGGGUUAAGUCCCGCAACGAGCGCAACCCUUAUCCUUUGUUGCCAGCACGUUAUGGUGGGAACUCAAAGGAGACUGCCGGUGAUAAGCCGGAGGAAGGUGGGGAUGACGUCAAGUCAUCAUGGCCCUUACGAGUAGGGCUACACACGUGCUACAAUGGCGUAUACAAAGAGAAGCGACCUCGCGAGAGCAAGCGGAACUCAUAAAGUACGUCGUAGUCCGGAUUGGAGUCUGCAACUCGACUCCAUGAAGUCGGAAUCGCUAGUAAUCGUAGAUCAGAAUGCUACGGUGAAUACGUUCCCGGGCCUUGUACACACCGCCCGUCACACCAUGGGAGUGGGUUGCAAAAGAAGUAGGUAGCUUAACCUUCGGGAGGGCGCUUACCACUUUGUGAUUCAUGACUGGGGUGAAGUCGUAACAAGGUAACCA